UGCAAUUAUUACGCAGCGCAAAUCAACACAACGAUUAAUUAACCGCAAAAUUAUACCGAAAAAUUGAUCGAGAAGCGAAAAAAAUUGGUUUUCAACCGGCUCCAAUACCUUAAAUCCAAUUCAAUAAUGUGAUCAAAGAAAGAAUCUGACCGGAUCCAUGUGCCGACGCAUGUGCAGAAAAGUUUAUUUAGCUUAUUUAUCCGCCUUACCUCGACGUGAAAAAUACAAACGUAGUAGUAUGGAGAAGUUACAAAUUGUCAAUUUUCACUUACGAGAUCACAGAAUUUUUUAUUCAACAUUCCUGAACAAUGUUAUAAUGUGUGCGUACGUUAUACCGGUAUAGAUAACGUGAUGUAAAUCGAUCGAAGUAAUAAAUUCCGACCACGAUCCCAACAGUGACUGCACCGUCUCAAGGAGUUACACGUGGAGGCACGACUUUACCACAGGUGUAUUUAAAAAUAUCUAUUGAUGUAGCGUUACACGGGCACAACUCGAGGAGUAUUGUCGAAGAUUAAAUAAUAAAUAUGUCACCUAAAUA